GCAGUCCACUACCUCUAUCUAGUGGCUACUUGACGUCCUUCUCCUGACACACCAGUCUACAAUCACCAAUCACCAUUCCCUACUUCAGCCGGGGAUCUCCCAUCAGCCGGCGCCAGUUCGUUGUUACGUCUACCCAUUCUCCCCCUGCAACCGAACCCCUGCCUGCCUGACUACCCGCCUGUCGUCUAGCCUGCCUGACUGCCUGCCUGUUACUGGACCCCUGCCUGCCUGACUACCCGCCUGCCUACCAAUAAAUCCCGUUCCCUUUA